rnacentral:lncRNA from 10 species
UGUGUGUGUGUGUGUGUGUGUGUGUUGCAUUUAUACUUUUGGGACCAAACAGGCCAAAAUGCAGGUUGUUGAGGAUUUGAGACAGUAGUAAAAUCUUUUUCUACUUUGAUAGUUACUUUAUGUCUGUGACAAUAAUGCCACAUUCUCUAUUCAGGUCUUUCUCCUUUCUCCCCUCCUUACAAUUUUCAGGUGACAUUUACAUUGAAAUGGUUACAUGGUUACAUUAAUGAUAAAUUACCUCUUCCUAAGAGCAUAAACUUGAACUGCUUUUCAAAACUCUUGCUUCUAACUAAAGUUUCUAAAGUAAAAUAUAGAACAAUGACCAAGAAAUGUGAAAGGAGUAAUGCAAAAAUUGAAUCUGGAGCUAGUGGAAUGUUAAAUAAAGGCCUUAAGAAAAACCUUUUCUCCUCCCAAAUGAAAAUAGCUUUAUUGUAUUUAUGAUUUUUAAAGAAACUAUGCAGGAAAAUAUUGAGAAUUACUGAAAAUUACACUAUAGAUCCCUGACACUGUGCAUGACAAAAACAAGGAAGUUGGCGGGCACAGGUGGCUUGGGGUGGGGUGAGGAGGAAGAGUGGUGACAGGAGGGACAGGUAACAAGAAACAAGGCCUGGUGGGGUAGAGCGUAGGAGGAUUGGUCGGAUAGGGGGUGCAGACCUUCAUUAAUAACCAGAGAAGGGCAAACACUAACCUUCAUCGGUGAUGCCAUUUGUGGCCCCUCAAGAUUGGCGAAGACCAGAGUGACAGGGUGGUGUGCACUGAGGCACUGUUCACAGAGGGGUGGAGGUGGGUCUCUCUGUGUGUAUGGUGGGAGUGUGGUGGUGGUUUCUGUUGCACUGCCUGCCAGCCUAGAGGUGAAUGUGAGGGUUGGGAGAUUAAACUCUGCCGUUAGUCGAGACCUUCAUGUGACCAGGAGCCAAGGUGUGAGUAAAUUCCUCUUAUUCAGGUCUUUUUUAUUUUUGCAGCACUCCCCUUUUCUGUUGAGACAGGCUAGUGUCUGGCCCAGAGGAUGAGGGGGAGAAAGACACUUUCCCAGAAUGGAGCAGGUCUGCGUGAGCAACUGGACUUGGAGCUGUGCAUCAGUGGUGGUGGUGUAAGGGGGUAUAUGUGAAAGGGAAGGAAGGCAAAAACUGAAGCAGGUCCAAAUGCCUAUUAGGCUCAAGAAAGGAAAGAGGAAGACGAAACUGACUGGGAUUUGGGCAGGUCACUAUGUGCCAUGCUCUGGACUAGAACCUCUGAGGGUUGGGGGUGAAAGGAUGGAAAUGGUCCAGGCCAGAACAUAACUAGGAGGAGACACUGCUCCUACUUAUGUUUCAUUCAGUCCAGGGAGAGGCUGGUAGAAUGGUCUAAAGGAAAAAUUGUUGAGAGAGACUGAGAGAAUAUAUAUGUACUCUUUAGGUAUGGGAGAAGGGCAAGAACCUGGAGGGAAUAGAGGAAUGAAUUAGAGGAAAGGAGUAAUUGCAGUCAAAGAGGAAAAGGGAAAAACAACUUUCGACAUGGAAAAUUCCCACCAGGAAAAUGAAGAAAGUGUUCAUAACGUAGAGGAAGAGCUACAUUUGGAAGAAAUGGAAGGCCAGGAAGCUAGAGGAAAUAAUCUCCAGGAACAAGCACCACCUACCCAGGAAGAUGGAGAUGGCUUGCCCCAUAGGCAUGUCAAUAACAAUGAAGGGAGAGGGAGGAAGAGGAUGAGGAGGAGGAA